rnacentral:rRNA from 1 species
GCUUACCAUGCAAGUCGAACGGUCCUUUCGGGGACAGUGGCGGACGGGUGAGUAACGCGUGGGAACGUGCCCAAAGGUUUGGAACAACUGAGGGAAACUUCAGCUAAUACCAAAUGUGCCCGAGAGGGGAAAGAUUCAUCGCCUUUGGAGCGGCCCGCGUCUGAUUAGCUAGUUGGUGGGGUAAAGGCCCACCAAGGCUUCGAUCAGUAGCUGGUCUGAGAGGAUGGCCAGCCACACUGGGACUGAGACACGGCCCAGACUCCUACGGGAGGCAGCAGUGGGGAAUCUUGCGCAAUGGGCGAAAGCCUGACGCAGCCAUGCCGCGUGGAUGAUGAAGGUCUUAGGAUUGUAAAAUCCUUUCAGCGGGGACGAUAAUGACGGUACCCGCAGAAGAAGCCCCGGCUAACUUCGUGCCAGCAGCCGCGGUAAUACGAAGGGGGCUAGCGUUGCUCGGAAUUACUGGGCGUAAAGGGAGCGUAGGCGGAUCGUUUAGUCAGGGGUGAAAUCCCGGGGCUCAACCUCGGAACUGCCUUUGAUACUGGCGAUCUUGAGUAUGGGAGAGGUGUGUGGAACUCCGAGUGUAGAGGUGAAAUUCGUAGAUAUUCGGAAGAACACCAGUGGCGAAGGCGACACACUGGCCCAUUACUGACGCUGAGGCUCGAAAGCGUGGGGAGCAAACAGGAUUAGAUACCCUGGUAGUCCACGCUGUAAACGAUGAGUGCUAGUUGUCGGCGGGCAUGCCCGUCGGUGACGCAGCUAACGCAUUAAGCACUCCGCCUGGGAGUACGUCGCAGA